UAACAGAGAAACGCGGAGACCGUGUGGAAACUCUGGUCACGCCGACUACCCCUCACAGAUGACAAUGAGAAAUUCUGGACGCAAAUAUAUAUGUUUCGAAAAACAAUGUGAAGGCCCUGGAGCACGAGUAAAAGCAGGCAGAAGCUGGAAAGGAGCCGACCCCUGAAAACAGAAACUGCAGCCAGUGAGACGCAUGUUGGUGGCAACGGACUGACAGACGCUCACAAAGGAAGCUGCGGGCUUGGCUACUCAGCACAUGGAAAAGUGUGCAGCAUCAUUAGUCACCAGGGGAAUGCAAAUUAAAACCACAGGGAGACCCCACUGCACACCCAUUCUGAAAUUCAAAGACUGACCACACGGACCAUCAGUGGGGUGUGGAGAGGGGGAACUCGUAUGCCGCCGGUGGGAAUUCAGAAAUGGCACAACCAUUGCAAAACGGAUCGCCAGUUUCUUAGGAAGGUAAAUAUACACCUGACAUUUGACCCAACAAUUCCACUCCUACGUAUUAUCCAAGAGAAACGGAAUGUGUCCACAAAGGGACCUACCUCAAAUGUUGGUAGUAGCUUUAUCCGUGUUACCAAGAAACUGGAAACAACCGGCACGUCCAUCAAGUGGAGAAUGGACACACUAAGUGCAGAAUACGACACAUGGGCUACUGGGCCACGGAAAGGGAAGGAGCGGUGAAACAGCCACGUGGGAAAAAAAAAUACACAGAGAGACCAUUUUGCAUCAGACCAGGAAAGAUAACUGUGAAGCUGCCUUUAUCGGUGAGGCUGCGGCAGGGUCUCAGCUGGUCCUCGUCUGAUUCCCAGGGCAAAUGGUAACUGCUGCCCCCAUUACAGUGGCACGAAUGCUCUGACCCAGGAGCUCCGGGAAUCCAUCCUGCAGACCAGCUCGCACAUGUGCAAAACGACUUAUGUGUCAGGGUCUUUGUCGGCAGAGCAAAUAUUGGAAAAGGUUUAAAUGCCCACGAGCCGGAGGGGAAUGGUGAAAUCAGCCACAGUCCACACGUUGACCCAGAUAAUGCACAGCCAUAAAGUGAAGGUGCUCUGCAUGUGCCUGUGGUACGGGGUGAUCUCCAGAGGGUGGUAAAAGGGACGUGUGAGAAGAGGGGAAAUUAUGUGCACAUACUUUCGCAUGUGUAUAAAAUAUUUCUGGAAGGAUGUUAGAGAAAUAGGUAACUUGGAAAUCUUGGUCACUUACGGGGAGAGAACUUGGUGUCUGGAGGAUGGGAGAAGAGGGGGCCCUUUUUAAAUUUUGAGUCAUGUCACCAGCAAUUAGUUUCCAGUUCUAAUGAAUCAGAUUAAAAUUAAAACCUCUUCCUUUAUCCCACAUCUUACAUUUUUCUGCUCUUUCCAGCAAGAUUUCUCACUUGACUGGUUAAUUCUGUGUACUUUCUAUUUCCUUUUCCCCUAAGCAUUGUGUCGUAAUCUUUAUUCUUUGUCAUUAAAAG
rnacentral:lncRNA from 1 species